CUUGAUCGACCCGAGCCAGAGCGGUUGGUCGUCCCGCCGCUGCUGCCCGUAGGUGGCGAGCAGGGCCUGGGCUUC
rfam:Micromonospora narathiwatensis strain DSM 45248 genome assembly, chromosome: I